UCCUAGGUGUUAUCAAAAGGUCUCAUCAAAUUAUUUUAUGUAGAAGAGCACCCAAAUGUUAUUUCUUGCUGUUCCUCUUCUUUUCCUCAAGAGAAAGAAGGUUGAAAACUGAAAAUGAUGAAGUUGAAGAAUGAAGUCAAUGAGUGUUAAGAAGAGAUUCAUUUAUCCUUGACAGGAAGAGGACACCUCACUUUAUCCUACAUUCCUAUCUCAGUCAGGAAAGUAGCUCUAGAGAAGGAACUAAGAAGUCAAGGCCUUUUGUGAAGUUGCUCUGUUAUCUCUGUGGCCCCAAAGACCAAAAUGAUGGAGAAAAUGAAACCAGGAUGAUUUC
rnacentral:lncRNA from 1 species